AUUUUUUUUUAAAAAAUAAACUUUUGCUUUGUUAAGUUAAUUCAGCAAAUAGGCUUUUGGUUGACCUAAUAGAUUUUCCUUUUGAGUCAGUUCGUAAAAUGAUAUCUGUUCAACCCAAUAGCUUUUGGUAAUAGAUGAUGAAGUGCCUAGGUUUCUCAUCAUUUCAUACAACUAAAUCAAGUUUGUACAGGCAAUUAAAAAGUAGUGGUUUUAAAGGCUAUUGUCUACCAUGAUGGUAGAAGUCUUGUUUUGCAACUACAAGGAGGUAGGUUUGAAUGUUGGGAUUAACUGCCUCCAUCCAUGAUAAAUAAGGAAGGUUAAAACCAAUUCUAGUUUUUCUAUUGCAGAACCAUGCUUUGCAAAUUGGGAUAUGCUUCUCAUGAGCAACUAAAAAAAAGUGUAUAAAUUCAUUGCUAAGGAGAACAAUUUGUUGACUAAUUGCAUUAGUUGAACAAAUGAAUGGUUGUUACAGAUUGAAUAGUUGUAAAAAUUGUCUGACCAAUGAUGCUUGCUUACAGAUGAAAUAUAUUUGAUUUUGGGGUUUAAGCUUCAUAAUCAUGAUAUGCGUUUUUUUGUUUUUCCUGCCUCUAAUGACCUGGACCUCAUGUUGUAAUUUGAAGAGAAAAGGAAAAUGUUGUAAAAACUGAUAGUCAUUUCUUUAUAUAUAUCUUAAAAUGAUCUAAGGGACCUCAGAACACGUGGAAAUAUUAAUGAAAACUGUGUAGAGAGAGAUUUGAUAUGCCAACAACUUAUUAGCUGUUGCUGUAAAUGUCUUUAUUCUAAAUUCACUUGUUCAAAUGAUUUUAGUAGCUCCUCACCUUUGGAUUCUGG
rnacentral:misc_RNA from 1 species